AACCUAGCACACCUGCGGUGUGUACCUGCGGAAGGAUCAUUACCGAGUUUACAACUCCCAAACCCCUGUGAACAUACCUAUAUGUUGCCUCGGCGGAUCAGCCCGCGCCCCGUAAAACGGGACGGCCCGCCGCAGGAUCCACAAACUCUGUUUUUAUUGUAACUUCUGAGUAACAAAACAAAUAAAUCAAAACUUUUAGCAACGGAUCU
rnacentral:misc_RNA from 1 species